UUUAUUUUAUUUAUUUAUUUUUUUAUGUGGUGCUGAGGAUUGAACCCUGGGCAUCGCACAUGCUAGGCGAGCGCUCUAUCGCUGAGCCACAAUCCCAGUCCCUGAUACUGCUUUUUAAUGGAUCCAGAGAAUACCUGUAAAGGAAGAGCCUGUUGCGUAGAAAGUUGCCUUGUGCUGUAAACCUGCUGAUGCCAGUGGUAAAGUAUUUGUGGUUCACCUGCUCCCUGCCUACUGUGUGUAUUAUUUUCCUGGUGGAUGAGAGUGAAUGUUAAUUAAAAAUACCCCAAGUCUCUGUUUUAGGGCACAAGAAAGAUAACAUUUUACAUGUGUGUCACAGUCCAUAGUUUAACAGAAGUCACUUCAUUUAAUCCUCAUGAUAGUGUAGGGAGGUAGGUAUUAUUGCCCAUGGCUAAUGAGGAAAAAUCAAGUUUAAUACUGCAUAGUAGUACUAAAUAGUUUCAUUCUUGAAUAACUAGACAAAUUGUAGCCUUAGAUUUGCACAUACACUACAGUUUUAACUCUUGCUUGUGAAAUUAAUAUCACAAUUCUGAAUUCCAGGAUAGUGGCAAAUAAUGGCAACAAUGAAGCCAUUAAUGUUAAUAUACCUUUCUCAAAUCCAGGUGAUCUGGGUAUAAUUUGUUAGUAAAUUUGUUUGCCAUAUUUAUUUUCCUCCUGAUUUCUUCCAUUUAUUUAGCUUUCCUCAGUAUGGAGAAUAAAUAUUUUAAAUCAAUAUGAAAAGAAAAUAAACCACUGAUGUGAGAAAUGGGCAUUUGUUAGCAACAGUACAGAAAUAAUGAUGUUAAGUAUAUUUGCUGCUCAUCACAUACCUUAUUAAUAAUUUAUUGAAUUUAUAAUGCAUCAGCGGAUGGUGGAAUAGUUUGAGAUCUCACAUGUAAAAUGAUCUAGGGAUAGGAAAGCAAUUCAGAUAUUUGUGCUAUAGAAUUACCAUUCAAUGUGUCGUUCAAUGAAAUAAUUAGCAGUUUGGUCUGGGAAAGCUACUUAAUUGUUUAAAACAAUGUAUAUGAACACCAAACCUAAUAGCUUAUUGGAUUGCAUAUGGCAAGGUGCUGGUCUACAUAGUUUCUAGAACACUAGGAUUUGGACUGGAACACACUGAAGACGUGGGUAAGCAGAUGCUUUAUACAUCCUGGGAUAGUUUGUCGCCAAGCGUCUCUUUUACAUCUGUCCCUCAUUUCCAUUCUUAGUGCUACCAUCUUCUGUCAGCUCCUAUGCCUCCCCCCACAGUUUAUGGCAGUAAUCUUUUCAUCGGCCUGUGUUUCCCCAAGCUUUCCCUGUUCUGACUUCUUUGCACAGAGCUCUGGAUUAAUCUUAAUACAGUUCCCUCUUAAAUGAAAUCCAGCCUUCUCAGCUCAGGCUCAGAAUCCUCUGUGAAUUCUAGCUUCCUUCCUGUCUGGCCCACAUAGCUCAUGUCUCCAAAGGUCUCACAGGCCUGAGAGUAAAAAUGAUGAAUUCCCUCACACACCAAAAAGCCCAACAGUCUCCCAUCUCCUCCCCUUUUUGCUGCAAAGACUUCUAAUCAUUCUGUGGCUCUUUUCUCUUUUCUUCUAUGCUAUUGUCCUUCCCUAGUGUCUUCUGCUGAGCCUCCACAUCCUACUGAGCCCUUUCAUAAGAAGAAUAUUAAAAGAUAAAUAUGAACAAGAUGUUGGGUUUAACUGAGCUUUGUUACUUGAACAAAUCCUUCCAGCGCCCUGUGGAGAAGGUACCAGGAGGAGCUAGUAAGUAGCAACGCCAGGAGAAAGCCAGGGAAAGCCAAGUCCAGAAGCCACGCUCCUGAGUGCCACUGUAUGAGGACACCUUCUGACGUCACUCUGACCACUGAGGAUGAGGACUUCUACAGCUGCCACGUCCACAAGUUGCCAUCUUUUGCUUCCACCUGUGGUGCUGUUCCUCCUGUUUAGAAGUCACUGAUUCCUGAUGUCACCAGAGCAUCAGGCCUGGACCUGCACCAUUUGAGAUGCUUAUCAGCUGGGAGCUGUGGUGUAUCCAAACUUCCCUCUGCACUCUUGAACCUCCUACUGUCGUAGACCUGUGGGGUCCCUACCAAGGGGAGCAGAAUACAUUCUCACCCUUUGAUCUACACUCACAUAUCAGGCCACCUAAACUAUUCCUUGGACCAUCUUCUCUCUGGAUGCUUUCAUAGGUUUUAGUAAAGACAGAUCUUUCACUUUUAACUUCAAACCCACUUCUUGCUCCCUGGCACCUGAACACAAGCCCAUGGGGGCACUGGAAGAUCUAAUUUUUCGGCAGACACAACAUCUUUGUUUGUAUGAGGUGCUGAGGAUCGAACCCGGGCCGCACGCAUGCCAGGGGAAGGAGGUUUCUCAAAGAAAGAUGACAGGAUCGAAUGACAAAAUCCUUCACAGAUGUAAUCACCAACAGGCAUUCUGGUGAGACUUGGAAGAUAAAAGAAAACCAGAAGCCAUUAUUGAUCCUUCAAGAUCAAAGACCCGUGAACCUCAACAAACAAGAAAAUAAAAUUUUGUAAUGGUUUCUAGAGACCUUCCUGAACUCCUCUACCCUGGCCAUGCAGCCAACAGAGAUAGCUUUCAAGAUUUCUGCAACUUCCUUUUUCUUCAAAUGAUGGUUGGUUUCACUGACAUUUGCUCUUUCUAGAAAUGCCCAGUGUUUUCUGUUUUCUUACUACAUCUUGAUUGAUUCACCUGAUGAAAUGGAAACCUAAGUGUUAGAGGAAAAUAAAUCUACCUUCCCUGUGCACCAGAAUUUGUGGUUGAGAUGCCCCCACCCCUAGUUCAGUAAGAAGGAGGGCAUCAAUAAGAUAUGAGCUCAGAGGCUGGGGUUGUGUCUCAGUGGUAGAGCACUUGCCUAGCACGUGUGAGGAACUGGGUUCAAUUCUCAGUACUACAUAUAAAUAAGUAAAAUAAAAUAAAGGUCCAUCAAUUUCUAAAAAAGUAUUCAAGCCAGGCACAGUGGUGUCCUCUUAUAAUCCCAUGCUAGGUAUAAUUGUACUUUGGCAUGAACAAAAUUAUGUUUGGCACUUACCCUUAAUCGUUCCCAUGUUCUCCUCGCCCUUGGCUCUGCCAUUUGCUAAAUCUGGUACAUUAUUUCCAUACUGUUUCAUUUCUUCUCUUCGGGCCCAACUCUCUCAAUACUGUUAUGAAUCACACACUACUAAACAACUCUCCAAAUUCACCCCAGCUUUCAGAUUCUGGAGGUUAAAAGAUUUAAAAAAAACAGUCCUCAUUCCAAUUGGGAGACACUACAUGUAAUUUUAAUCUUGAUGUUAUUAAAAUGUUAAUUAUAAAAUGUACAUACAUUAAGGAAUUCUCUUUUUUAAAUUUUAUUUUUAUUUAUUUUAGCUGUUGAUGGAUCUUUAUUUUAUUUAUUUUAUUUUAUAUGCAGUGUUGAGGAUCGAAACCAGUGCCUCACACAUAGUAGGCAAGUGCUCUACCACUGAGCCACAACCCCAGCCCCACUUUAAGAAAUUCUUUCAAAACACAGUUAUGGUGAGCUUUUACUCAUAGAUUAACAACUUAACUGGUGCUUCCAAAUUGGGUUAAUUUAAAGUGGACUGUUCCUAAUGGAAAGGAGUCGCAUCAAUUGAUUUAUUCUACAUAUGGCAAAUCCAGGCUGCCAUUGCUUGGACUCCUAAAAGCUAUCUAGGUGAAAGAAUGCCUUUUCAAAUAAAAAAGAAUAAAUUGCAG